GGACCCGUGAUCCGGGUUGCGGACAGUGUCUGGUGGGUAGUUUGACUGGGGCGGUCUCCUCCUAAAGAGUAACGGAGGAGCACGAAGGUUGGCUAAUCCUGGUCGGACAUCAGGAGGUUAGUGCAAUGGCAUAAGCCAGCUUGACUGCGAGCGUGACGGCGCGAGCAGGUGCGAAAGCAGGUCAUAGUGAUCCGGUGGUUCUGAAUGGAAGGGCCAUCGCUCAACGGAUAAAAGGUACUCCGGGGAUAACAGGCUGAUACCGCCCAAGAGUUCAUAUCGACGGCGGUGUUUGGCACCUCGAUGUCGGCUCAUCACAUCCUGGGGCUGAAGUAGGUCCCAAGGGUAUGGCUGUUCGCCAUUUAAAGUGGUACGCGAGCUGGGUUUAGAACGUCGUGAGACAGUUCGGUCCCUAUCUGCCGUGGGCGCUGGAGAACUGAGGGGGGCUGCUCCUAGUACGAGAGGACCGGAGUGGACGCAUCACUGGUGUUCGGGUUGUCAUGCCAAUGGCACUGCCCGGUAGCUAAAUGCGGAAGAGAUAAGUGCUGAAAGCAUCUAAGCACGAAACUUGCCCCGAGAUGAGUUCUCCCUGAGACUUUAGGUCUCCUGAAGGAACGUUGAAGACGACGACGUUGAUAGGCCGGGUGUGUAAGCGCAGCGAUGCGUUGAGCUAACCGGUACUAAUGAACCGUGAGGCUUAACCUUACAACGCCGAAG
rnacentral:rRNA from 1 species